UCUAUGGAGUUUAGACUACUCUUUUUCUAGAGGAACUGCUCAUUUACUUGCAAAGAUCUUGACUAUCAACAAACUCUAAGGUACAUGGUUUCAUUCGUGAUUGAGUUUUACACCGUUUAUUGUCACCACAUGUUUGGUUGAACACUGGUGGUUUCCUUGACAGGGGUACAACGAGAUAAGGAACACAGUAUUCAUAUUUCAUAGUUUUUAUAUCUGUAAUAUUAUAAAUUCUUGUACUGAAUAAUUUUGAACUUGCUUUUGUUCAAAUUGAGAUGUUUUGAAAAUUGUAAGUCUUGAUUGUGUAUAUUUGUGUUUGUGUUGGCACUACAAUUGCGUUUUGUUUUGAUUCUGCUUUCGUACUAUGCAGGGAACUCUAGUUAUCAUGGAAGACACACGGCAGUAACCAUUCCUCGGCCUAUAAAUCUCCAACCGAUUUCUGUGCCUUCGAUUACAGUAAAUGAAUUAAAGUCUGUGACAGAUAGUUUUGGUACGAAGUCUUUCCUUGGUGAAGGUGCGUACGGGAAAGUAUAUCGCGCCAUGUUGAAAAUGGGACAUGAAACUGAACUCUGUUUGUCGAAAUCAUUUGGAUUUGCGGGUACAAAGGAUAAGUGUGCUGUUACGACCCAAAGGGCUUGUGGAUUGAAAUGGGCAUGUGAUGAUAGGGAACUUGCUUCUGGUGAAGUUAGGCUUCUUUCAGCUGCAAAACACAAGAACCUUGUUGGUCUGGUUGGAUAUUGUGAACAACCAGAAAGAGAUGGAGCAAAAAUACUAGUCUAUGAAUAUGUAUCAAAUGGAGCAGGAAAAGGCAUAGCUUAUUUGCAUGAAGAGGUGAAGCCAAGUAUAAUUCAUCGUGACAUCAAACCAAGUAACAUACUAUUAGGGGAAGGUUUUGAGGCCAAAGUUUCAGAUUUUGGGUUGGUAAAAUCAGGACCUACUGGUGAUCAAUCACAUGUCAGAAGUGUGAAGGGAGACUAUAUUUCUUUUUGUUUUAGAAUCUAGUCUAGAGGAGAAGUGAGGCAAUGAUUUGUCAUAGAUAUCCUUGGUGGUCACUCCUCUAUCGUAAAAAGGGUGGAGUUAUUGUUCAUUAAGCUUUGCAAAUGUAUAAUCCAUAAUUUAAAAUAAUGAAUUCCUUGCGUGGUGCUGUAUCUUCAAGGAAAAUAAAAGGAGGCUGAUUAUCAUCUGUUUGUUAGGUGCAUAUCACACAAGGUGAUUAUGAAAGAAGAGCAGUAAUCGUCUCAUGGGUGACCUCGAAUGAACCAGAGUCCAGCCAUGUACAAUUUGGCACAUCACAGAAAGAGUAUCAAACUAGUGUAAAAGGUGCAGUUUCAAAUUACACUCUCAGCUAAUACAAAUCUGGUUACAUUCAUCAUUGUCUUGUUAAAGGCCUUAAGGUACUUGUUUCAAAUUAGGAGAGUAGAAUUAUCAUUUGUGUUUUUUUACUUCAAAUGUCAAAAGUGAAAUAAAUUGAACAGUGGAGUCUAACUAAAAGAACAACAUAUAUUUCAUUUUUGAAUAAUGACACCUCCCGAAGUUGAACCAGAUGCCCCUUACAAAUUUGGGAUC